UAUAUUUUGUGCUUGACCUUGGGCGCAUCACACAGGCUGAGAUCCAGAAUAUACUUACGUGCCUAAAUCCCAUUGUGGGAUUUAGCCACCUGGAUAGGAGAAAGGUUCAAAUUUUCAAAAAGAUCCUAAAUCUUUCAAAGCUCCUUAUCUGCAAAAUGGACAUAGAAGCUCAUGGUUUUCUUCAGCAGGAUAUCAUGAGAACAGAUGCACCGCGUUUGUAACAUACAAACUGCUCAUCCUUGCCAAGCCAAACAGUGAAUCAAAAGGAGGUAACUUCUGGUCAGCAACUUCCAUACCACCUAGGCUCAUCUCAAAGACUUAAGAUGUGAAGAGAAAAAGCACCACCAGUUUUGCAGAAUAUGAUCCUGGCAGAGAGUCCCUGGCAACAGAUCGUGAAGGGAUGAGUGAGCGAACUGAGAAACUGUGAGUUCUGCUUUUUAAACACUGACCUCAAGAGAAGCUAUGCAGGCUGAAAGGGUUAUUAUACGACUGGACACCUUGAGUCACCUGGGGACUAGAAAAGCCAAACCCUCCUUGAGAAGCAAGGUUUCUCUUUGUCCUUACCCAGAAGGAUGUAAGCGUUCGCCAUCCAUUAGGAAAUCCUCACCUCUAUCGCACCACUAUGUGUUCAUUAACAUCAAAUUUGCCUACAAAGCUUGUGUGAACAUCACAUGCUUCAGCCUGUCACAAACAACAUCUGCCUCGUGAGAUACACCCAGCUGCUGAACCGUUCUGCCCACAAUGCCUGGACCGUGCUCAUUCAGCACUCCGUAAGAAAAUUGAGAAAAAAAAUAACUUUAUAUCUAUUUCAUGCAGCCAGGCAAGACCAACCUUAAAUACUCUCCCUUCAUGAACAUCAGCCUGUUAGCUUAUGUUAGGUGCUCCUGUGAAAUGGAUCCUCAGGAAUGAAACAUUGGGAGCAGUGGCUUGUGAAUGAGGAACACUCUGUGCAGCACCCUGCCAAGCUUGGUGAUGUAUUGCAGCACUUAGGGGCCACUACUCCUCCUCAUCCUGCCUUAUUGUGGUAUCUUCUGUCCGAAGAAAGGUGUGUGUAGAGCAUGCCAGCAUACUUGCACUGUGACACAAGGUAAGACAAGACAAAACAUGAGCGCCAUGGAGACUCUGACUGAGGUCUGUGCUGUAUGUGGUGGGUAACUUGGUACAAUCCUGUGUUUGUUGCCUGGUUCAGUCCUACAUUUCUCAGGCCACCUCCAAGAAAUAUUAAAAAUACUGUUUUCCAAAGGCUGAAGUUAGGCAAUUAUUAUAGAAAUAUUGGCUGUGGUUUAUGGUCUUGCCAAAUUAAGUUUAGCUUCAGUGAAUGUGACAUGAAAUCUGUAGAGUAUAGCCCCACCAGUGAAUAAAAAGGCUUCUUCAGCCUAGUCAUGUAGAAAUGUCAGUAAUACAAAAUUCUGACAAUUGUAAGAGCAUUGCAUUUGCAGAAGCUUUGCACUUUCAGUCUGGUGAUAAAGCGUCAAUCUGUAUAUAGUUCCAUUUUGUCAUUUGCUUGUGGAGUACUUCUUUCCUACACUAAAAUUAAAAUUGAAAAGUCUUUUUCACUUUUGAGGAAAAGAGCAGCGUUGAAGAGAAAUUCUCCCUGGCAAAUUAAUAGAUAAGGUCUGCCAUGCUGACUCAAAAGCAAGCAAAAGGUAAAAAUUGAAUCUCUUUAUCACAGUUAAGUCAUUUUUCUAAACUGAGGAAGUAAUAUAGGAUGGAAGAUAUAGGAUAGAUUCUCUUACAGAAAGUGCUUUUAAACUUUAAAAGAUCCAUAACUAAUAUUGGGAAUGCUUAUAAAUUACAGUCUUCUCUUUUAGAUUAUGUUGCAUUUAUUACAUUCUACCAGGACUUUAUGGAGAUUCUCAAGGAAUUAAAGUUAUAUUUAUGAUAAAAACAUGGAGCUGCUUCUAAAUAGCAUUUUCAUCAUAUUAACUGUUGCCUAGAUAGCAGGCAUAUCUCCUUGAGCACCUCUAUUCUGGUUUAGCACUACAGCUUGCAAAUUAAUACAGUCAUUAUAAGACAGCAAAGCUAUAUCACUUACCAUUUCAUUAUUGUUCAUAUCAAAAUCCAUAUUUUUUCAGUUUUCCCUAGGGUUACAAACUGGAUAGGGAAACGUUAUCACCUUGCAAAAUAAUCUCUCAAGACUCGCUCUCUUUGGUGUUAAGAGGAGCAGUUAAUCAUAUUACAGUAAUUUUCAUAUUAAUAGGUACUGUGUAAAGAGAGAGUUAAUGCUCUCCUCCUACAUUCAAUCCUCCAACAGAGCUUUUUAUAUAUACAUAUAUUUAUAUAUGUGUGUAUGUGUAUAUAUAUAUGUGUAUAUAUAUAUUAAUCUGCUUGGAACUGGAUUAGCACAAAAGAUAUCACGUCCUACUCAGUAUAUGAAUCAGGGUCAAAUCAACAGCAUACCCUUAAAUUUUUAAUCAAAAUGGCAAUCUGUCAUCCCUAAGAGAGUUAGGUAAUGUUUCAGUGAAUAACAUGAAUCCAUACCAUGUUUUAAUGGAAAAUGGGAGACCUUACUGCAGCACAGGAAAACACUCCACAGAGUGUCUUGCAGAUACUUUACACGAGAAACUGUGAUCCUACAGCAUGUGUAUCCACUCUAAAACAAAAAUCAUCUUGAGACCUGAAUACUAUUUUCUGAGGGAUUACUUUACUUCUGAGAUCUCCUCACAUACUGUCAUUUUCUGAACACUUCCCAUACAGUGUUGUGCAUUUAAUAAUGUGACGUUUUUAUUUGAACUUGGAGCUUUAACUUUGUGUGUGAGCAUUUUCUGGUGCUUUUUCUUUUUUCCAAUCUGCUAACCUGAGUAAUGCGGUCUGUUCAGAAGAACCUGAGCAUGAAUUUAAGGAGCUAGACAAGGGGUCAGGUGUUUGCCUAAUUUUUGACAGCCUGAAUAUGAAAGAGAUGUGGGUCAGGUCUGCGGAGACGUCGGGGAGAGCGGGCUCGGCUCUGCUCCCGCUCUGCCCCGGCUCAGUGGGAAGCUGCUCCACGUGGGAGCCUGAGUGCUGCCCAGGUGCUGCAGCUAAUGACCACCACAGAGAGCGGGAUCAAGACCUGGAACACAAUGCUGACUUAAUGUGGCCAUCUGGCUCCUGGAGCCAGUUGGCUUAGCCCGUGAAGGAGCCCACGGCAUCUUCUUGGGCAGUGUGGGAAGACACUCCCUUGGUAAACCUGCAUGUUCUGUCAGUGGCCGCUCUCCUUUUGCUGAACUCCGUUGCUGUAAUGAUGCCAUCUCUCUCGACACCCGUCAUUAUUCUCCCCACCAUCAUUCCCAGGGGUUCUGACUAAAAUCGGUGGAAAGCUCCCUUGGAUUUUACAAGCUUUGGUACUCGGACUUGUCUGGUUUUGACUCUGUUUUCUGUUUAGACCCACUUUGGCCACAUCCCUCACCUUCCCCCACUUAUGUGUACUUUUAUUUCUAUUCCUGACCUGCUCAACAACUUAAAUUACUUAGGCAGUGAGUCAAAUGCAGACUAAAGAAAUGCUUUCAGCUUUGAACUGAAAUGUGUUGACAGAACUCACAAGAGACCUAAAGGAGACGUGGAGAAGUGGCAUCAUUUUGGGAGAAAAAAAGCUGGAAACAUGAUUCUCAUCAGAUCUGUGGACUCACCAUGGUUUUGUGGCAGCGCUCCUGGCUGCCUUAAUGAAGUCACGAGUCCACUAAUGCUGUGUACAAACAGUUUUAAUUGGUGAUAAUAUUAACACUUGUUUAAUGCAUCUUAAUGGUAGCUGGAAUUCGGUUCUAUCCGCACUAUACUGGUGGAAAUCAAAAGUAAUGUUAUUCAAACUUAUGUUCUUCUUGAUUAGCAGCACUUUAAAAGAAAUCAUACUCUAAUGCACUUCUGAAUUUCAGAUAUUCUACUGUAUUUCCAUUUAUAACCUGACAUAAUUCCCACACAGCAUAUGGUAUUAAUCUGGUGUAAACACCAUGUUAUGAUGAUACCCGAACACAUACAGCUGACAUGAAAAUGUCUUAAAGCACAAUAUUUCCAAAAGCAAUUAUGGCUCUAUGGUUGGUGGUUAGCUUGCCGUGUGAAUUUUUGUUUCUUUCUGAUGCAUACAUGAAGGUACACAGGAUGAAACAUUACAAAAAAGGAGGUAUUUUCACUGUGCGCAAAAAAGAAAAAAAUAAUUCAGGAUGGUCCACUUUUUUUGGUCAGGCUUUCAUAAGGAGAUCUCACCUUCAUGUGAACACAGUAUUUUUGUGGUGUUGGAAUUUCCAUUGUUUGUUUUAGAGAGUGGAUGGGUAGAUCAGUGCAUGGAAUACAGUGACACAAAGUGAAACCAAUGCAUUUUUGUAAGAGAAAACUAUGUCCAAAAUAAGUAUUUAAGGGUUUUUUUUUAAUUCUUAGUGAAGGUAAUACUCCUCCUGAUAGGUAUAUGCCCCAGAUAUCAACCUCUGCUGGUAACCAGACAUUUUUCAAUGUUCCUGCUGAAAGGGGUGGGAGACCAGCUCCCCUUGUCCAGGUAGAUGCAAGUGUGAAAUCCUUAAAAAGAUUGCCUAACAUUGGAGUUGAGUCAAUAAUUUUGUUAAAAGGAGAUAAAUAAAAGCAUGUCUUUUGGAAAGUAAAUGCGUGUGGAUGGUAAUAUUUUUGCUUGAACACUUGCCAGUAGGGCCAGAUUCACAGCUGGUGUAAACUUUUCUAGUGCCAUUGAGUUAACACCAGUUUGAGAUGGAAAAUUCAUUUAUUAGGAUGAAGUACAGCUUUUUCCACAGAUUGUUUGUAGCUCCACCUGCUACCCACACUCUCAUUUUUUUUAGUCUUUCCCUUUUUUUCUUCCUCAUGAUCCUUUCUUAAAUAUGAUCCUAAGACAAACAAAAUGAAGCAACCUCAGUAAAACGCUCUCAUCUUGAAAAGGAAUUACCCAACAAUUGAUCUCUGCACUCAUUAGCAUCAGUAUAAAUCUACAAUGCCCUUGUUCUAAUUACUUCAUAUUUGCACUAUGGUGAAAAACAGUAGGUUAGGCUGUUGAUGGCUUUGUAAAGUGAGCAUUUCCAGCUCAUCUCCUAUUAUCCAAUGCAAUAUCUUAGCUUUAAAAUAGACAGCUAAAAAUCUUGCAACAGGGCAAGUGUAAAUCUGGAAUAACUCCACUGAAAAUUUACACCCAUGUGACUAAGAAUUGCAUUUAGCUCAUUUGGUUGAAUUCCUGUUAAUGGGUUCUGCAUGUUCAAGCAUCCACCAGAGAUUAGAUGGAAACCAGCAUACUUGCUGUUAUCUGCGAUGCAGGCAGGACACCAGAGGUGAAAGGGUAACGCAUUAUCACACUGUGCCACCUGGGCCAUCCAACACAAUUUGAGCAACCAUAAUUGUAUUGAUUACUUCUCGUGUUCAUGACUAAUGACCUCUAGCUGCAACCUUGCAUUUUCUAAAUCUUUUAUAUUCUGAUUUAAUAAUAAGAUUUGAUUAAAAAUUGCCAUUAGCCAAUGCCAAUGAUUAGUCAGCAGGACCGAAUGCCGCCAAGUUCCAAUGAGUUUCAUUAUUCUGGAAUUAAAAAGGACAGAGAACUUCUCUGGGUUAAUAAUACAAUGAUUCUGUCUCAAUCAGGAAUGAAAGGAAAUAACUCUAAUGUACAAAUGCAGCAAAAUGUAUGGCUGUUACUAAUAGCUACAUUUUACAGAGAAGUGUUUGAAGAUUUAAAGGGACUUUGUCACAGAUGGUGGGGACAGUUUGCUUUUACUUUUUAUAUUUGAUUGGAAAGCCAGUGUCAGAUGGUGUGUGAGGGGGCAUUUUCCCAAAGAAGGCCUUUUCCUUUGAUGAAACAAGAACGUGGGGUUUAUUCAGUUUCUCCGUGCGCAUCUCUGCCAUAGGAAGACAAUGCAAAGUGUACACAGGCAAAAAUGAAUUGUGAUGGCUUUAGAAAAUGGCAAGGGGAUUUGUCCAGGCUGUUCACUUGCUGCGAAUAUAUUAACCUAUGAUAUUUAUUUAAUUUUUUUUUCCAAAAUGGUGAUUUAAUAUUUAAACACAAUGACAUAGUGUCACAUCUAGCCCAGAAAAUAAAGUAGUAUGCUGUUUCCUUUCAGGAGGGUAAAGUAUUUAAACACACACUGAUUUUUUAGACAUGUGUCUAAAUCCUGCUGAAGUGGUCUUUUGUUAGGGAUAGACUUAAGCAUGCACUGAAGGGCUCUGCUGAACCUGAAUCGAUGCCCUGGUGUUCCUGAAUGUGGGGUGCACUACAGAAGAUGCUCUAUGGGGGAAACAUCUGCUGCGGGAUGUGAUGUUACCUCAGAUCCUGUUGAAGCUGGCUGAAGGACUAGGUGACAUUGAAGUCAAUGAGAGCUGAGAGCACUCAGCACCUUUCAGGUUCAGACACCUAAAUAAUAGAAGACUCUUGAGGCACAGCAAAAGCAUUUCCCCUCUGUCACACAGGAAUAAGAAAACUGUCCUGUCUCCAUUUCAUCCUCCAGAAAAUAUGUCCCAAAUCUGAGUCCUUUAAGAUUUUUAGGGUGUUUGAAUAAAUACCUCUUUGAAUUACUGCAUACAUAAAACUUUUUGUCACCUUCAGGAAAAUAAUUUUUAAACAUACUUCGUUA